CUGAGUCGUCAACACGAGUUGUUGCUGGUCCUCGAACAGGGGACAUGUGCACGCUCUGUUUACACAUCCACUCACACCUGUGCACCCUCUGUAGUUCUAUGGUCUGGGGGGCCCUGCCUCCCUUCCGUGGUUCUAUGUAUUUACACACACACACUGUAGUAAAGUCUCAUGGAAUGCAUACCGCGUUUAACGCAAUAUAAUA
rnacentral:misc_RNA from 1 species